AACGAACGCUGGCGGCAGGCCUAACACAUGCAAGUCGAGCGCCCCGCAAGGGGAGCGGCGGACGGGUGAGUAACGCGUGGGAACGUGCCUCUUGCUACGGAAUAGCCUCGGGAAACUGGGAGUAAUACCGUAUGUGCCCUUCGGGGGAAAAGAUUUAUCGGCAAGAGAUCGGCCCGCGUUGGAUUAGGUAGUUGGUGGGGUAAUGGCCUACCAAGCCGACGAUCCAUAGCUGGUUUGAGAGGAUGAUCAGCCACACUGGGGCUGAGACACGGCCCAGACUCCUACGGGAGGCAGCAGUGGGGAAUCUUAGACAAUGGGCGCAAGCCUGAUCUAGCCAUGCCGCGUGAGCGAUGAAGGCCUUAGGGUUGUAAAGCUCUUUCAGGGGGGAAGAUAAUGACUGUACCCCCAGAAGAAGCCCCGGCUAACUCCGUGCCAGCAGCCGCAGUAA
rnacentral:rRNA from 1 species